rnacentral:tRNA from 1 species
GGACUCGUGGGGUAGUGGAUAUCCUGGCGGGCUUCGGACCCGCAGACCCGUGUUCGAAUCGCGGCGAGUCCG